rnacentral:rRNA from 1 species
UACGUAGGGAGCAAGCGUUGUCCGGAAUCAUUGGGCGUAAAGCGCGCGUAGGCGGCCCUGUAAGUCCGUUGUGAAAGUCAAAGGCUCAACCUUUGAAAGCCGGUGGAUACUGUCGGGCUAGAGUGCGGAAGAGGCGAGUGGAAUUCCUGGUGUAGCGGUGAAAUGCGCAGAUAUCAGGAGGAACACCGAUUGCGAAGGCAGCUCGCUGGGACGUCACUGACGCUGAGACGCGAAAGCGUGGGGAGCAAACAGG